rnacentral:rRNA from 1 species
UACAGAGGUCCCAAGCGUUGUUCGGAUUCACUGGGCGUAAAGGGUGCGUAGGUGGCUGGGAAAGUUUGAUGUGAAAGCUCAGGGCUUAACCCUGAAAUGGCAUUGAAUACUCUCCAGCUGGAGGUUUGGAGGGGGGACUGGAAUUCUUGGUGUAGCAGUGAAAUGCGUAGAUAUCAAGAGGAACACCAGUGGCGAAGGCGAGUCCCUGGACAACACCUGACACUGAGGCACGAAAGCUAGGGGAGCAAACAGG